rnacentral:rRNA from 1 species
UGGGGAAUAUUGCACAAUGGGCGCAAGCCUGAUGCAGCCAUGCCGCGUGAAUGAAGAAGGCCUUCGGGUUGUAAAGUACUUUCAGCGGGGAGGAAGGUGUUGAGGCUAAUAACCUCAGCAAUUUACGUUACCCGCAGAAGAAGCACCGGCUAACUCCGUGCCAGCAGCCGCGGUAAUACGGAGGGUGCAAGCGUUAAUCGGAAUUACUGGGCGUAAAGCGCACGCAGGCGGUCUGUCAAGUCGGAUGUGAAAUCCCCGGGCUCAACCUGGGAACUGCAUUCGAAACUGGCAGGCUAGAGUCUUGUAGAGGGGGGUAGAAUUCCAGGUGUAGCGGUGAAAUGCGUAGAGAUCUGGAGGAAUACCGGUGGCGAAGGCGGCCCCCUGGACAAAGACUGACGCUCAGGUGCGAAAGCGUGGGGAGCAAACA